rnacentral:tRNA from 1 species
UCCGCGAUAGCUCAGUUGGUAGAGCAAAUGACUGUUAAUCAUUGGGUCCCUGGUUCGAGCCCAGGUCGUGGAGCCA